UUUACGUAUAUCCCACAAUAUGGGGGCACACUGAAACUUAGUGGCUUUCGUUGGUUUAUAAAACCAACCUCUUGGGAGGGUCUCAUACCCAGCACGUGGAAGCUUGGAAGUCAUGGCAGCUUGUGCAGAGUGGAGGAUGUGGCGUUGCCCCUUGUGGUGCUGCGCUGUGCCUGGGAAGUGAGAAUGAGCGGCACGCUGGGACUUGGAUGGAGUUGCUUUAGUGACAUCCCAUCACCUGUAGGCCCAAGUGCACUUUGCCCAGGACAUCAGAUGUGCCAUUUUAAGUUGUGACUCAGAUCUAGAUCAGUGUCUUCAUGUCCUCAGAUCAUGGGCAGACUACCAUGCUUGGAGACAGAGGAGGAGGAGCCUCGGCGGGGACGGCUACCUUACUGCUGAGAACCUUCGUGCAUGUGAUAGGCGGCAGUACCUCCACCUGAGACCUAAUCACGCAUGGUGAUUAGGGAGGAAGGCAGGAGACUGAGGGGUUCAAGGCCAGCAUGGGCUAUAUAGUGAAACUCUGGUUCAGGAAACAAAAACAGCAGCAGAGACGCACUGUCCGCUCUGUGUAAGGUCCUGUGGCCCAGUAUUCAGACUUGUCUAUCAAGUGCGGAGUCCUUGCUCCAUGAUGAGGAGUCAGUGAUGUUCUCUCAGCAGGACUCAGCUAGAACUCGGAGCACAGUGAUCCGUGGCUGCAGCAGAAGACUCGAAUCAGGCACCUUUAGGCUUCCUAGCUCUCAUAGGCAGACCCUCUCUGCUGAGCUAGUCUGCCUGCCCACUGUGGACAUGGCUUUUUACCAAGGAAGGAGGAACUCGGAACCUUUGUAACUCAUCCUGUGAAUCAGAACGUAACAAUAAAAGCAUCACUGUUUCCUUCAGGUCCCGC
rnacentral:lncRNA from 1 species